UAAACAAAUUAUUCUAAACUCUAAACAAAUUAUUAAAAUUUAAUUUAUUUUUCAACUCAGUUCAAAAUUUCAUAACACUUCAUAUUACAAAUAGAGAUGUGGGCAGGAAAGAAAGAAAUCUGAGUUGCCAAUUGACGAACGGCCCUGAUAGCGCCACGCGUAGAGAUACAGUUAUAAGUAAUUGAUCGUACGGAGAGUGUGAUUUAGGGUCGGGCAGCGGGCGUGAGGUGACGUCAUCGGGUCCGUUUUACAUUUAUUCUUCUUUCUGGGCCUUGAAGCUGUCAUUGUCAGGUCCAUCAGGACAAGCCCACUGCCUCUGUAACUCCAUAUAUACCUCGCCCCUCACACCACUUUUUCCACCAUUUUUUUCUUUCUUUCUCUAAAACCCAAAAAGAAAAAAACACUAACUUAGAAUGGAGGAGCCAGAAAAACUUUGGAGGAUCAGAAAAACACACACCCUUCUCAGAGAUUAUCAAGACAGUGAUAUGAUGAUUAUGUUCAGAAUCCUAGAGACAGAUCAUGAUCAUCAAAUCCCAUCUGGGUACAACCGAUUUGGAUUUGGAAGUGAGAUUAGUGUUAUUAAUUCCAUUAAUUUGAUUACAUCGUAAUCUUAAUCUGGUGCUAUCCUACCUGAGCUUCUUUCUACUCUUUCUUCGUUCAAUCUAUUGUUUUCUUUUUCUUUCCUCGUUUUGAAUCUUCUUGACCUUGUAAGACCUUUUCUUGACCUUGUAAGACCCCGUCUCCAGUUUUCUUUCUUUCUUUAUUCUCCCAUAACACGCUUUAUAUUAACAUAUGUUGAUAUAAAGUUGUGUUAUAUUUUCUCCCGAUUUCCAACCAACUCAACUUCUCCUUCCUUGUCUAUCCCUCCUGAGCUUUUCCCUAAAACUUAUUAAGUAGAAAAAUAGGCUGUUUUUCAAAGCUUAUUUCAUUAUCCCCUUUGUGCAAGAGGCUGCAGACUGAAGAACUUAAUUAGUUUAUUUAUUUUAUUUAUUAAUUCUUCUUGUAGCUAGAUAUAAGGAUUUUUCCAACACUAAAUACUAUGUAAUAAAUAUAUAUAAAUUAAAGUUUUAUAAUAUAUGGUUGGUGUUGGUCCUUGAGCUAAGC